AAGUCGUAACAAGGUUUCCGUAGGUGAACCUGCGGAAGGAUCAUUACCAAAAAAUCCAAUACCAACCCCUUUUUGUGAAUACUUUGAAUGUACUUGGGAGAGCUUGGAUCUCUCAAAGUUUUUAUUUUUCUUUAAACUUUGACUGCCUUCUCUCCCACGUUUAUUAACCUUAAAACACCUUUCAUGGGUUAACUAUAUAAUAGUAAUUUCAUACUCAAAAAAUAAAAUAAUUUAAAAGUUAAACAACUUUUAACGGUGGAUCUCUUGGCUCGU
rnacentral:misc_RNA from 1 species